rnacentral:rRNA from 1 species
AACGAACGCUGGCGGCAGGCUUAACACAUGCAAGUCGAGCGCCCCGCAAGGGGUGCGGCAGACGGGUGAGUAACGCGGGGGAAUCUACCCAUCUCUACGGAAUAACGCAGGGAAACGUGUGCUAAUACCGUGUACGUCAUUCGGGAGGAAAAUUUAUCGGGAACGGAUGAGCCCGCGUUGGAUUAGCUAGUUGGUGGGGUAAGGGCCUACCAAGGCGACGAUCCAUAGCUGGUUUGAGAGGAUGGUCAGCCACACUGGGACUGAGACACGGCCCAGACUCCUACGGGAGGCAGCAGUGGGGAAUAUUGGACAAUGGGCGAAAGCCUGAUCCAGCCAUGCCGCGUGAGUGAUGAAGGCCCUAGGUUUGUAAAGCUCUUUCACCGGUGAAGAUAAUGACGGUAACCGGAGAAGAAGCCCCGGCUAACUUCGUGCCAGCCGCCGCCGUAAGAC